CGCGAGGUCAAGCAAAUCCCAUAAAGUUGUUCUCAGUUCGGAUUGUAGUCUGCAACUCGACUACAUGAAGCUGGAAUCGCUAGUAAUCGUAGAUCAGCAUGCUACGGUGAAUACGUUCCCGGGUCUUGUACACACCGCCCGUCACACCACGAGAGUUUGUAACACCCGAAGCCGGUGGAGUAACCUUUUAGGAGCUAGCCGUCGAAGGUGGGACAAAUGAUUGGGGUGAAGUCGUAACAAGGUAGCCGUAUCGGAAGGUGCGGCUGGAUCACCUCCUUU
rnacentral:rRNA from 1 species